AAGCACCGUACAUGUCUUCCAUCCAAAGACUUCCACAAAAUCCCAGCGGAAUCUCAUCUUUCGGAGCAGCAUCCCCAUCUGCAUCUCGAGCGUAUUCUUACAUCCCGAUCAUCUCCCACGGAUAAACUCUAAAAACCCAGCACAUCCAACUUCUUCCCUUCCGUAUCUUCACUUCCAAAUAAGCUCCAACCCCCACAUCCACUCGCAUUCAAGCUUCACAUGUUCUUCCCCUGUUUCGGAAUCAAGUCCCAAUAUCCCACGGAACAGCUCCUCCCGCGAUGCUUGCCAAACAAACUUCCAUCUUUAUCCAACACCCAAGCUGCCGAAUACCAUGGAACAUCUCCCCUGUUCCCAACCGAAUCGAGUUCAUCCUUCCGUGAGCCAAUCCACAUCUUUCCCAGCUCCUUUCAAAGCAACUCCCAGCUUCUUCCAAAUCUCCUCCCAACCGAACUAGCCUUCCAUCACCUACGGAUAAGCCCAGAUUAGCUCCACUUCCAGCCGUUCCUUCCAUCUUCACGGGAUAAACUCAAAUCCCAUCCCCUAGCCGUGAUCAUCACCCAUGCAUCCGAGAUCUCCUCUCAGCCGAGAACACUAUCCCAGCUCGCGAUUCAUCACUUCCAACCAACCAUUCAAUCCUCCCACUAAAUCCCAGAUCUUCUUCCGGAUUCCUCCCGUUCAAGAUCGGCUUCCACAUCAUCCACAUCAUCCCGUUCCUUCUGCAUCCAACUAACAGACCCUGCUUCGGAACAGGGGUUCAGAUUUCACAGAUGGAUUCUUUCCUCCCAAUCCCCUCCACGGAUCAUUACCUUCUUCCACGUCUUCCACACGUCCGGCUCAGCUAGCAUCUCAACCGCGUCCAAGGAUCAAGGAAUUUUGCAUUAUCCCGUUUCCUUUCAUCCUUAUCCUCUACUCAGAACAGUAGGGAAGAGGAGGAGGUAUGCAGUCUAUAAAAGGGCCACGCAUGAAACAGAGAAGGCAUUCCUCCUUCCCCAUCGGGGGGGCAUUCCCUCUUCCCCCACCGGGGGCUGCUCCCAUCAUCUCUCCUCAGAGGCCAAGUUCCCCACCGGGAGAAGAAGAAGCUUGGCUCUUCUCAGGGAGUUACCACGACAAUAAAAAAAACAGAGGAGGGAGAGAGGUUUGGCUAUUUUGGGAAUAUUUCAAAGUAGAAAGAGAAGGAAGGAAUGGGAGCCC
rnacentral:lncRNA from 1 species